CACGCCGUAAACGAUGAAUACUAGGUGUGGGGGGACUGACCCCUUCCGUGCCGCAGUUAACACAAUAAGUAUUCCACCUGGGGAGUACGACCGCAAGGUUGAAACUCAAAGGAAUUGACGGGGGCCCGCACAAGCAGUGGAUUAUGUGGUUUAAUUCGAAGCAACGCGAAGAACCUUACCAGGUCUUGACAUCGUGCGCAUACCAUAGAGAUAUGGGAAGCCCUUCGGGGCGCAUAGACAGGUGG
rnacentral:rRNA from 1 species